rnacentral:rRNA from 1 species
GAUGAACGCUGGCGGCGUGCCUAAUACAUGCAAGUCGAGCGAACGGACGAGAAGCUUGCUGCUCUGAUGUUAGCGGCGGACGGGUGAGUAACACGUGGAUAACCUACCUAUAAGACUGGGAUAACUUCGGGAAAACGGAGCUAACACCGGAUGAUAUUUUGAACCGCAGGGUUCAAAAGGGAAAGACGGUCUUGCUGUGACGUAUAGAUGGUUCCGCGUUGCAUUAGCUAGUUGGUAAGGUAACGGCUUACCAAGGCAACGAUGCAUAGCCGACCUGAGAGGGUGACCGGCCACACUGGAACUGAGACACGGCCCAGACUCCUACGGGAGGCAGCAGUAGGGAAUCUUCCGCAAUGGGCGAAAGCCUGACGGAGCCACGCCGCGUGAGUGAUGAAGGUCUUCGGAUCGUAAAACUCUUUUAUUAGGGAAGAACACAUGUGUACUUAUCCGUGCACGUCUUGACGGUACCUAAUCAGAAAGCCCCGGCUAACUACGUG